AGAAGAAGAAGAAGAAGAAGACGUCUAGUCUGAACUAAGCGCAGUUCAUUUCGCAGGACGGAGAGAGUGGAGCUAAUUUGCAAAGACGCAGUUUAGAUUUAAUUAUUAUGAUUAUUUUAUUAUUUGUUCCACUUCUCCUUCAGCAGUUAAGAGAACUCGUGUGAAUGAUAAGCACAGGAGUGAUAAAAUUGAAGAAGUUCUUUUAUCAUUGAUUCAGAAACGUGUUGUCGUGUUAUUUACGGUUACAGUGGACUUCGUGGCCAGUGAUUCAAGAUUGAGAAGUUGAAUUGGAAUCGGCCGAGGUUUGUUGGUUCAUCACUAUGUUCAUUGUAAUGGCUGUGGUUAUUGCAAAUGUAUAACUUGUACUGUAACUUAAUGUGGAUGUAGCAAAAUUGUACAAAACUGUUUUUUCCUAUACACAAUAAACAAAAUACAUGUCUUUUGCUUCUGUGUGUCUUGUAUUCAGUCAUUUUUAUUUUAUAAAUAUGUAAGCACUGUAUUUGAACCUGUUAAGCCCCUUCAUGGCUCAAUGGGUCAAGCAACAGUGCAACAGUAAAAGUCUGUUAUAACUGGAGCUUCUUGGAUUCCCCCCCCCAAGUUGCUCUUUUAAAAGCAGUCGACAACUUUUUGUAUGUAUAUCCAUUUUCUCCUUGAUUGUACUACUGUAUAAAGGGGUGUUGAACAGGUGCGUUUCCCAAAACCACAGUUGCUAACUAAGUUAUUAACUUUUGUUCGUUGCAAUGCAAUUUAUCAUUGCCAACCAACAAAGUUAGCAACUAUGGUCUUGGGAAACGCAUCCCAGGGCGAUAGUGGAUCUGAGUAAGAAGGCCCACAAGGGUGUAUUUCAUUUGUUAGUGUUGUAUAUGAUCACGGUCUUUAAACCAGUGAAGCCCCUUCAUGUCUCAAUGGGUCAAGCAAGGGCUUGUUAUAACUGGAGCCCUUUGCAGUUGCUCAUUCAAAACCAGUCAACAACCUCAAUGAAUCUAAAGCACAAACAGCUCUGAAACAAUGCCUCUGGAAUUAUUUUUGCAAAAGCAAUUUAUCAAUUUCCACACAGUCAUGUUGUCAAUAUGGCAGAACACAAUAUUCAAAUGAAAUAUUGCACAAAGGAAAUAUCAACUGGCAAAGAGCACACUAAACAUCAGUUGUGUGAAUGGAAAUAUCGUAGCAUAAACGGAUACCAAAACACAUUAAAAUCAAAAUACAUGUAGUAUUGAUACUUCAACUUCAGUCCAAAAUGACCUCCAUAAGUAAGCCAUAAGGAAAAGCCAUAAUUCAUGUUCACUUAAAACUUAGCAGUAGCUAAGUAACAGAACUUGUGAUGUUGGAUACAAAACAUUUUCAGACCUAUCAAUGGUAAUAAAUAUCUGAUUAUGGAAACUUACAUUUUGGAUGGCAAAGUUCACUUACCACUUUUAACCAACAAAAACUACCUACAUGAUUUAAUACACCAUUGGCCUACAAGCACAGUAAAUAAUAAAAAAAAAAGUUUACCUGACUGCGACACAGCUAGCAAUACUUGACAAACUAUGCCAAACAAGGUAGACAAAAAUGUCAGCUGUUUGUACAUUCAACAAUCUUCUUCAUAUCUGCGUUGGAAAUAGAAUAGCACUUAUUUUGAGCCUUGAUCUGACAUGCAGUGUGAGGCGUAGCCCAGUGGUUCUCAACCGAUUUUGCUUCAGGACCCAGAUUCUAGAUUGGACAUCCCAACACAGUCCAAGAUGUAUUCUCGUUCAAAAGUAAAUAAAAAAAAUAAAAAAAAAAAA